UACGUAGGGGGCUAGCGUUGUUCGGAAUUACUGGGCGUAAAGGGCGCGUAGGCGGCCUCGUCCGUCCGGCGUGAAAUGCCUGGGCUCAACCUAGGAAUUGCGCUCGAUACAGCGAGGCUAGAGUGUGGGAGAGGUUGGUGGAAUUCCCAGUGUAGAGGUGAAAUUCGUAGAUAUUGGGAAGAACACCGGUGGCGAAGGCGGCCAACUGGACCACAACUGACGCUGAGACGCGAAAGCGUGGGGAGCAAACAGG
rnacentral:rRNA from 1 species